GUGUCCUAGGAAAGGAGAUGGAGACAGCCCUCCCCUUAACAGGGAUUGGAAGAGGGUCUUUUAGGCCAUUCAGCACAUACACAUUUAAGGCAUUGCUGCCUGCUCAUGUUUUCUGUUUUCACAAGUAAAGGUGCUUAUUUAU
rnacentral:ncRNA from 1 species